CCUACGGGAGGCAGCAGUGAGGAAUAUUGGUCAAUGGGCGCUAGCCUGAACCAGCCAAGUAGCGUGAAGGAUGACUGCCCUAUGGGUUGUAAACUUCUUUUAUAUGGGAAUAAAGUGCAGUAUGUAUACUGCUUUGCAUGUACCUUAUGAAUAAGGAUCGGCUAACUCCGUGCCAGCAGCCGCGGUAAUACGGAGGAUCCGAGCGUUAUCCGGAUUUAUUGGGUUUAAAGGGAGCGUAGGCGGGGUGUUAAGUCAGUUGUGAAAGUUUGCGGCUCAACCGUAAAAUUGCAGUUGAUACUGGCAGCCUUGAGUGCAGUAGAGGUAGGCGGAAUUCGUGGUGUAGCGGUGAAAUGCGUAGAUAUCACGAAGAACUCCGAUUGUGAAGGCAGCCUGCUGGACUGUAACUGACGCUGAUGCUCGAAAGUGUGGGUAUCAAACAGGAUUAGAUACCCCAGUAGUC
rnacentral:rRNA from 1 species